rnacentral:rRNA from 1 species
CAAUAGCGUAUAUUUAAGUUGUUGCAGUUAAAUAGCUCGUAGUUGGAUUUCGGUUAAGAGCGACCGGUCCGCCGUUUGGUGUGCACUGGUUGGUUUUAACUUCCUGUAGAGGACGUGCUCUGGGUUUAACGACCUGGACUCGGAGUCUACGUGGUUACUUUGAAAAAAUUAGAGUGUUCAAAGCGGGCUUACGCUUGAAUAUUUCAGCAUGGAAUAACACUAUAGGACUCCUGUCCUAUUUCGUUGGUCUCGGGACGGGAGUAAUGAUUAAGAGGAACAGUUGGGGGCAUUCGUAUUUCAUUGUCAGAGGUGAAAUUCUUGGAUUUAUGAAAGACGAACUUCUGCGAAAGCAUUUGCCAAGGAUGUUUUCAUUAA